UACGGGGGGGGGCAAGCGUUGUUCGGAAUUACUGGGCGUAAAGGGUGCGUAGGCGGCUUUCUAAGUUGGAUGUGAAAACUAUGGGCUCAACCCAUAGCCUGCAUCCAAAACUGGAGAGCUUGGGUUCUGGAGGGGAAAGCGGAAUUCCUGGUGUAGCGGUGAAAUGCGUAGAUAUCAGGAGGAACACCGGUGGCGAAGGGCGGCUUUCUGGACAGACACCGACGCUGAGGCACGAA
rnacentral:rRNA from 1 species